GGAGGGUGUAAGUACCCAGGAAUUUAUCCAUUUCUUCUAGAUUUACUGGUGUAUGUGCAUAGAGGUGUUUGUAGUAAUCUCUGAUGGUGGUUUGUAUUUCUGUGGAGUCGGUGGUGAUACUCCGUUUAUCGUUUUUUAUUGCAUCUAUUUGAUUCUUC